rnacentral:rRNA from 1 species
GACGAACGCUGGCGGCGUGCCUAAUACAUGCAAGUAGAACGCACAGUUUAUACCGUAGCUUGCUACACCAUAAACUGUGAGUUGCGAACGGGUGAGUAACGCGUAGGUAACCUGCCUGGUAGCGUGGGAUAACUAUUGGAAACGAUAGCUAAUACCGCAUAAUAUUAAUUAUUGCAUGAUAAUUGAUUGAAAGAUGCAAUUGCAUCACUACCAGAUGGACCUGCGUUGUAUUAGCUAGUAGGUGAGGUAACGGCUCACCUAGGCGACGAUACAUAGCCGACCGGAGAGGGUGAUCGGCCACACUGGGACUGAGACACGGCCCAGACGCCUACGGGAGGCAGCAGUAGGGAAACUUCGGCAAUGGACGAAAGUCUGAGCGAGCAACGCCGCGUGAGUGAAGAAGGUUUUCGGAUCGUAAAGCUCUGUUGUAAGAGAAGAACGGGUGUGAGAGUGGAAAGUUCACACUGUGACGGUAUCUUACCAGAAAGGGACGGCUAACUACGUG